rnacentral:rRNA from 1 species
CCCAGACUCCUACGGGAGGCAGCAGUGGGGAAUAUUGCACAAUGGGGGAAACCCUGAUGCAGCAACGCCGCGUGAGUGAGGAAGUAUUUCGGUAUGUAAAGCUCUAUCAGCAGGGAAUAGAAAAGAAGGUACCUGAAAAAGAAGCCCCGGCUAACUACGUGCCAGCAGCCGCGGUAAUACGGAGGAUGCGAGCGUUAUCCGGAUUUAUUGGGUUUAAAGGGUGCGCAGGCGGCACGGCAAGCCGGCGGUCAAAUCGUGGGGCUCAACCCCGCCCAGCCGUCGGAACUGCCGGGCUAGAGUGGGCGAGAAGUGCGCGGAAUGCGUGGUGUAGCGGUGAAAUGCAUAGAUAUCACGCAGAACUCCGAUUGCGAAGGCAGCGCACCGGCGCCCUACUGACGCUCAGGCACGAAAGCGUGGGUAUCGAACAGGAUUAGAUACCCGCGUAC